AUGUUGAAGGGCCUGAGCCUCUUCAGGAGAUGAAUAUCACUCUGACCCUCUGGGGAAAUAGCUUCUGUAUUCUCAACCGGUCCGUUUUUCAAUCUGCACAAACAGCAGAUAUCUGUAGUCAUAAAAAAACCUACGUAGUCCCCAUAGAGACAGUGGCCGAGAAAGUUCUCGCCCUUCUGUAGUCAAUUAUAAGGUCUUUUUUCUUCAUGAUGUUAAAGGGAUAGUUCGGGAUUUUUGACAUGAAUCUGUAUGGCAUCCCCAUCAGCAGUGUUGUGCAUUCACACAGACUUACCCCCGAGAGCGUCUGGUGAGCAGAGAUCCGGUCUGGUUUUGGUCCAGACAAAAGUAGUCCGGCCAGUUUGCUGGGGUCACGAAAAUAAAGCGUUUUCUUCUCAAACCAAUAUGUGUUCGAAAGAGUGAUAUAUUUGCAUUACAAAACCGUUGUCCACGAAAAAGUCAGACCUCGUAAACGCUUGGCACUAUUUUCUCUCCCUUCAUAUCACUCCGCGCUGCCUCCAGCUGGCAGCCGCGCAGGUUUCACUUUGUUUACUGCUCGUAAAGUUAACAUGUCUGACUACGACAGCGACGAUGAAUAUAUUGACUUCAGCACUCAGCCAAGGGGAUAUCUUUAUGAACCCGAAUAUACUGAAGCCGAAAUUCACCAGAUGGAGUUAGAAUGGGCAGAGAGAGAGAGAGAGAGGGUGGACCAAAACCGGACCGGAUCUCUGCUCACCGGACGCUGUCGGGGCUCACAACAGCAGUGUCAUCUGAGAAUUUCUAUAGAACCAACUGUGAUCUGCACCUGAAGUCUGACGUGUACAAGAUGGAAAGAAAAUCUGCUAAAGCUGUCCCUCAUGGCGCUCCAGUGCUGCCAUCUGUGUUAUCAGAGGAGCAGUUCACAGCCAGACAUACUGUCAUCUCUCUAUUGACCUUGCUAAUGACCUUCAAUGUUUGAGCCAUUCUUUCUGCUGAUGGGUGAGCAAUAAUUCCAAUCUUUACAAAUCUGUACCUCAUUAGUCCAGUUCAUAAAUAUAUUACUGUUGUUAUUGCUCUGUAUAUUUGAAAUGAACUCCUUGAUUUCUUCCUGCAGUUGAUUUUCAUUUUUGGCUACAUUCAGCACACGUCCUGAAGGAUUACAGAAGAGUAGAAAGGGCUGGCCAAGCACAAGAAGUGCUAACGGAUGUCAAUGGCACGCUACUUACAUCACCCCAUGAGUGUUGAACCUGACGGUGCGAGGGACUUCUUCACCAAAGGGUUGCACGAGAAAGGAUGAGUCACAUUUCUCUUAAGACCCGUAGCAGACUGGCAGCACUAGUUCCAUUUCCCAGAACGAAUGUGGACAAAGCCAACCGCAUAACCGUAAAACGCACAGUCACAGCGUGGGAUGGACAGCCUUCUGUUCUAGGAUCAUUGCUCCCCAUACAAGCACCAAACUGCUUUUUGGCAGUUUGCAAUAGCGUAACUGCUGUUUUUUGUUCAACUAAAAUUAAAUAAUCUACGGGAAUCUAAUAAUUCGGUGAAAUGGUAACUGGCAACAAGUUCAGAAUGAAGGCUGGCAUGCAAAACUUGGCAGAAAUGGAUUGUGGGAGCAGGUGGGUGAAGUAGAGAAUAAGGGAAGUGAGUAGUUGUGAUGCGCAGUGGGGAUGGGAGCAUGCAGUCUUAAAAACAAACAAGAAAAGGCCAGCAAUGACCUCUAUUCUUCAGGCUUAAAACGGUUGAUUGCCACUUUAAAAAUCUUAUGAAUUCAAAAUUAUUUAACAUUGAAUCUAUUAGUGCUCUAACAACGGCUGCUUGUCUGAAACAGGACGUCAUUUAAAAGACAACUUAAGAGGAAUGUGAUUUGGUGAAGGCCAGACGGCCGCAUGACACUGGUCUUAAAUGAUGGAAGUAAAGGCACCAUGGUGGAGAGAAAAACGAGUGACGGCGUAAACUAAACCUUUAACUGUCUCUCUGGUGACCGUGUUCUUAUAAAUCAUGACAUGAAGAGAAAAAGAGAGAGUGAGAGCCGAGGUGAGCCUUGAUUUAUGUAGUUUUUAUGAUGACAUGGGGCCAAAAGAUUUACACUUUGUUUCCUCUGUCAUGAGUCCGCAGCUUUCGUGGUGAGGUUGAUUGUGCCAUCACCUUUAUGCAUAUGGGGUGCUCUGUGGUUUCAGCAUUGAGUGGGCUCCUUCCGUUUCCCCCUGGUCAGUUGUGUUUUG